AUCUCUUCUCGGCCUUUUGGCUAAAAUCAAGUUUACAAUAUUUGCUCUUAUCAAUUAAAAACCUGUUACGUCCCCUGUCCGGGGACCAUAUGUUAAAUGAAUUAUAAGAAUAGGGAGAUGGUACAGGGGCUUGCUACGGCCACUCAACGCUUCGACCUGGUAUUGCAGUAUCUUCUGGAACGGUGCACCCCCU